rnacentral:rRNA from 1 species
GAUGAACGCUGGCGGCGUGCCUAAUACAUGCAAGUCGAGCGAAUGGAUUGAGAGCUUGCUCUUAUGAAGUUAGCGGCGGACGGGUGAGUAACACGUGGGUAACCUGCCCAUAAGACUGGGAUAACUCCGGGAAACCGGGGCUAAUACCGGAUAACAUUUUGAACCGCAUGGUUCGAAAUUGAAAGGCGGCUUCGGCUGUCACUUAUGGAUGGACCCGCGUCGCAUUAGCUAGUUGGUGAGGUAACGGCUCACCAAGGCAACGAUGCGUAGCCGACCUGAGAGGGUGAUCGGCCACACUGGGACUGAGACACGGCCCAGACUCCUACGGGAGGCAGCAGUAGAGAAUCUUCCGCAAUGGACGAAAGUCUGACGGAGCAACGCCGCGUGAGUGAUGAAGGCUUUCGGGUCGUAAAACUCUGUUGUUAGGGAAGAACAAGUGCUAGUUGAAUAAGCUGGCACCUUGACGGUACCUAACCAGAAAGCCACGGCUAACUACGUGCCAGCCGCCACGGUAA